rnacentral:rRNA from 1 species
CCCAGACUCCUACGGGAGGCAGCAGUGGGGAAUAUUGCACAAUGGGGGGAACCCUGAUGCAGCGACGCCGCGUGGGUGAAGAAGUCAUUCGUGACGUAAAGCCCUAUCAGCAGGGAAGAAGAUGACGGUACCUGACUAAGAAGCCCCGGCUAACUACGUGCCAGCAGCCGCGGUAAUACGUAGGGGGCGAGCGUUAUCCGGAUUCACUGGGUGUAAAGGGAGCGUAGACGGCCGUGCAAGCCAGGAGUGAAAGCCCGGGGCCCAACCCCGGGACUGCUCUUGGAACUGUGGGGCUGGAGUGCGGGAGGGGCAGGCGGAAUUCCUGGUGUAGCGGUGAAAUGCGUAGAUAUAAGGAGGAACACCGGCGGCGAAGGGGGCCUGCUGGACCGCGACUGACGUUGAGGCUCGAAAGCGUGGGGAGCGAACAGGAGUAGAUACCCCAGUAGAA